rnacentral:rRNA from 1 species
UACAGAGGUCUCAAGCGUUGUUCGGAUUCAUUGGGCGUAAAGGGCGUGUAGGCGGUUUGUUAAGUCAUGUGUGAAAUCCCUCGGCUCAACCGGGGAACGACGCAUGAAACUGGCAAGCUAGAGUACCAAAGAGGGUGGUGGAAUUCCCGGUGUAGCGGUGGAAUGCGCAGAUAUCAGGAGGAACACCGGUGGCGAAGGCGGGUCUCUGGGCAGUAACUGACGCUGAGGAGCGAAAGCGUGGGGAGCGAACGGG